UAGCGAAGGGGGCUAGCGUUGCUCGGAAUUACUGGGCGUAAAGCGCACGUAGGCGGAUUGUUAAGUCAGGGGUGAAAUCCUGGAGCUCAACUCCAGAACUGCCUUUGAUACUGGCGAUCUUGAGUCCGGGAGAGGUGAGUGGAACUGCGAGUGUAGAGGUGAAAUUCGUAGAUAUUCGCAAGAACACCAGUGGCGAAGGCGGCUCACUGGCCCGGUACUGACGCUGAGGUGCGAAAGCGUGGGGAGCAAACAGGG
rnacentral:rRNA from 1 species